rnacentral:rRNA from 1 species
AUUGAACGCUGGCGGCAGGCCUAACACAUGCAAGUCGAACGAGUGGCGGACGGGUGAGUAAUGUCUGGGAAACUGCCUGAUGGAGGGGGAUAACUACUGGAAACGGUAGCUAAUACCGCAUACCAUCGGAUGUGCCCAGAUGGGAUUAGCUAGGAGGUGGGGUAACGGCUCACCUAGGCGACGAUCCCUAGCUGGUCUGAGAGGAUGACCAGCCACACUGGAACUAGUACACGGUCCAGAAUCCUACGGGAGGCAGCAGUGGGGAAUAUUGCACAAUGGGCGCAAGCCUGAUGCAGCCAUGCCGCGUGUAUGAAGAAGGCCUUCGGGUUGUAAAGUACUUUCAGCGGGGAGGCGUUACCCGCAGAAGAAGCACCGGCUAACUCCGUGCCAGCAGCCGCGGUAAUUC